GCCGCGAGGCAGAGCAAACCCCUAAAAAGACCGUCUCAGUUCGGAUUGCAGGCUGCAACUCGCCUGCAUGAAGUCGGAAUUGCUAGUAAUCGCGGAUCAGCAUGCCGCGGUGAAUACGUUCCCGGGCCCUGUACACACCGCCCGUCACACCAUGAGAGCCGGUAACACCCGAAGUCAAUAGUCUAACCGCAAGGAGGACAUUGCCGAAGGUGGGAUUGGUAAUUGGGGUGAAGUCGUAACAAGGUAAC
rnacentral:rRNA from 1 species